CAGUGAUAAACUGGAGGAAGGUGGGGAUGACGUCAAGUCAUCAUGGCCCUUACGACCAGGGCUACACACGUGCUACAAUGGCGCAUACAAAGAGAAGCGACCUCGCGAGAGCAAGCGGACCUCAUAAAGUGCGUCGUAGUCCGGAUUGGAGUCUGCAACUCGACUCCAUGAAGUCGGAAUCGCUAGUAAUCGUGGAUCAGAAUGCCACGGUGAAUACGUUCCCGGGCCUUGUACACACCGCCCGUCACACCAUGGGAGUGGGUUGCAAAAGAAGUAGGUAGCUUAACCUUCGGGAGGGCGCUUACCACUUUGUGAUUCAUGACUGGGGUGAAGUCGUAACAAGGUAACCGUAGGGGAACCUGCGGUUGGAUCACCUCCUUACCUU
rnacentral:rRNA from 11 species